rnacentral:lncRNA from 1 species
CAAGAUCUGGGGAUAUUGAGUUAAAACAAGAAAAAAAAGUUAAUGUUAAACGAAUUUUCAAAACAAAUAUAUUUAUAGAAGGGAAUUAAAUGUGAAAAUGGAUAGACAUGGGUAAAAAGUCGGAGACUAACGAACCUUACUGGAAAUUGGAAAAGCACCAGAAGAAAGAUUCUUGACGUGGAGGCGAAGUUGCUGCUGAAUGUCGAUGAUGAUGAUGUGAUGCUGCUUUUGAGACGCUGCAAUUUCUACGCAUACAUGUGUUAGAGAAUUUAAGAAUACGGAGGCAAGGAACAAAACAAAAUUUGUUAGGAUUUGAGACGUGUUUGCAUAUUUUCUUUUAAGGUUUUAUUUGUUCUCAUCAGUCUUUGUUUGUUAUAGAAUUUUAAUGGUAAAUUAUCCCAAGAUAUAUUAAAUCUUGAAUAUAAUCUCUAACAAAUAAGAUUGUAUUUCUAGAAUAUAUAUGAAACCUAUAAAAUCUGAUUAUUUUUUCUAUUUGUAUGUCUUUCUUUAAUAAAGAAGAUGUUUAUUGAAAGAAUACAACCAUUGAAAAUUAUACUUCUUCAAAGACACUCUUUUGGUUUUAAUUUGCAUCGAUUGACAAAUGAAAUUUUCAAGCUUGCUAACCGUUUUUCCAGUUGACGUCUCUCUGAAAAUAAACGGUUAGCCAUUUUCUCAAUAAAACGGUGAGUCGUUUUGUUCCAGAAUGUCAAAUACGUUGCUCUCUGUAAAUAAACGGUUAGUAGUUUUCUCAAUAACGGUGAGCUGUUUUCUCUAGAACAUAAAACAUGCUCUCUGGAGUUAAACGGUUAGUUGUUUUCUCCAGAAACGGCAAACCGUUUUCUUCCAGAAUAUCAAACCAAAGAUUGAAAAAUGUUACAAUUUCUCUUACAAUCCCCCACUAGAUUGUAAUAUUUUUUAGAUUUAUUAAUGAUAAAACUUAUACAUACAAAAAGGUAUCUUUCGAUUUUAACCUUUAAUUAGUAAGUGUAUUUCAAAGCAUUUACAAGACAAUAGUGUGCUAAGCAUUAAACUUUGUCUCUUAAGUAAAUACCGGAGAUACAUCACAUAUAAGCUAUCCCAGAUUUCAAAGUUGUGUUCCAAUAUUUAGCACUAAUCCGGCCUUGUGCUUUAUCUUGGAUUCAUGAACAUUUACAAGAUUAAACCAUGAUCUUGUUAGAAACGGCAUCAUUUCUUAUGUUCACUUAGUUGAAGUUUCAAAUCACGUCUUUAGCUACUAUAAGACUUGAACUUCAUUAAGAGUAAAUACUCAACCUCAACCUCAUAGCUAUUUGUACCGAAUAUCUCGAAUGAGAUUAUUUAUUAUUCGGUGUCGAACCAGUCACAUAACAACAACUUGUUAUUACCCAUUUAACUAUGGAGUAGCGGUAUAAUUACUACAUAGUUGGGUUACCGUCGUUGGUGACUUUAUUAUUUAAAGGUUUCAAUCCCAUUCCAAAAGAUGUAUCUUUAACUAAGUCUCUUGUAAGACCUUUUGUUAAAGGAUCUGCUAGGUUCUUAUUAGUCAUAACAUAAACAAUAUUAAUAACACCAUCUACUAUUAAUUGUUUGACAUAUUCAUGUCUCAAGCUAAUAUGUUUAGACUUUCCAUUAUACACUUUAUUAUAAGCUCUAGACAAUGUAGCUUCACUAUCGCAGUACAAAGAAAUAGAUGGCAUCAGUUGUGGCCACAUCAUUAUAUCAAACAACAAAUUUCUCAACCAUUCUGCUUCCUUGCCUGCAGCAACAAGUGCUAUAAACUCACUUUCCAUUGUUGAAUGAGUUAUGCACGUUUUGUUUCUUUGAAGCCCAAGAAACCGCUCCUCCAGCAAUUGUAAAAAUCCAACCAGAAGUGGAUUUAUUAUCUCUUGUAUUGGUUACCCAACUAGCAUCUUAAUAUACUUCUAGUACUUCAGGAUAAUCAUUAUAAGACAAACCCAAAUUAAUGAUCCUUUAAAGAUAACCAAGUAUCCUACAAAUUGCUUUCCAGUGUUAAACACUAAGGUUACUCGUGAAUCUUGACAUUUUGCAAACUGCAAAUGCUAUAUCAGGCCUCGUACAAUGCAUAACAUACAUCAAGCUACCAAUAACACUAGCAUAUUCUAGUUGCGCUACUACUCGGCCUGAAUUUUCUAGUAAUUUAAUACUAGAAUCAUAUGGGGUAUUAGCUUCUUUAAAUUUCAAAUAAUUGAAUUUAAGAAUCACUUUCUCUAUAUAAUGAGAUUGACACAACGAGUAACCCCCACUAUGUUUAUUCACUUUGACACCUAAGAUAGUAUCUACUUUACCAAGAUCUUUCAUCUUAAAUUGUGAAGUUAAAUACUUCUUUGUAUCAUCUACUCCUUGCAUAUUUGUUCCAAAGAUAAGCAAGUCAUCAACAUACAAGCAUAUAAUCACAUCAAAAUCAUUCGUAAAUUUAAAAUAUAUACAUUUAUCAGCAUUAUUAUGCUUAAAACCAUGAGAUAAAAUUACCGAAUAAAACUUCUCAUGCCAUUGUUUUGGUGCUUCCUUUAAACCAUAAAGUGAUUUGACUAACUUGCAUACAUUUUUCUCAUUUCCUGGCAAAACAAAUCCCUCAUGUUGUUCCAUAUAGAUUUCUUCAUCAAGAUCACCAUUAAGAAAAGCGGUUUUAACAUCCAUUUGAUGCACAUAUAAAUUGUUCAAUGAAGCAAUUGCAAAUAACACUUUUAUAGAAGUUAACCUUGCUACCGGAGCAUAUGUAUCGAAAUAAUCAAUACUAUUUCUUUGCUUAAACCCUUUGGCUACUAAUCUAGCCUUAAAAGUUUGCAAAGAACCAUCACUAUUGUACUUUCUUCUAAAUACCCAUUUGCUGCUAAUUGGUUUAAAUCCUGGAGGAAGAUCAACCAAGACCCAUGUUUGAUUAGACAUAAUCGAAUCCAUUUCAUCAUUCACUGCCUCUCUCCAAAAAGAAGCGUCUCUAGAAGACAUAGCUUCGCUAAAUGUCUUUGGAUCUUUUUCAAUAUUUAACAACAAUGGUACUUUGUUAAGUACAUUCUUUCUAUCCUCUUCAACCAACAAGAGUAGUGCUUGUGAUGAAAUAAAAUCCGGAGCUAAACUUUUUUUUUUCUUUUCGUGUUGACUCCUCCUUAGUUCGAAAGAUGUCAUAGACUCUUUCCUUUUAUUAUUGUUAGUGGAGGUAACAAGAGUAUUAACACAUGGUUGAUCAAUAAUUGAUUCUAAUUCAAUAUUAGAAUCAUGUUGAAAUUUAUUCUCAAUAAAUUCAACAUCUCUAGAUUCCACAAUCACAUUAGAAUCUAAAUUUAACAACCUAUAAGCCUUGGAAUUUUCAGCAUAUCCUACGAAAACACUCUUUAUACCUCUAGUACUUAACUUUGAUAAUUUAGGAUCAUGUAUUUUAUAAAAAGUUAAACAGCCUCAGACCCUUAAAUGCAUCAAGUUUGGUUUUCUUCCUUUCCAAAUUUCAUAAGGAGAUAUAUGUGUUUUCAAAGAUGUAAUUCUAUUAUGAAUAUGACAUGCAGUGAGUAAUGCUUCACCCCACAAAUUAUUUGGUAGUUUUGCAUUUAGGAUCAUGAAAUUUAUCAUAUCCGUGAAGAUCAUAUUCUUCCUUUCAGCCAAACCAUUUUGUUGAGGAGUAAAUGGACCUGAUCUUUGGUGAAUAAUUCCAAAUUCUUCACAAUAAUUAUUAAAUUCAAUUGAGAAAUAUUCACCACCUCUAUCACUACGAACCAUUUUGAUUUUCUUAUCUUUUUUGUUCUCAACUUCAGCUUUGAAAAUUUUAAAUUUAUCAAAAACUUCAUUUUUUGUUCUAAGUAAAUACAUAUAAGUGUAUCUAGAACAAUCAUCAAUAAAAGUGAUAAAGUACCUCUUACCUCCUCUUGUUAAAACAUCAAUAUACUCACAAAUAUCGAUAUGUAUUAAAUCCAAUAUUUGAGUAUUUCGUUCGGCUUUAGGAAAAUGUUUCUUAGUUAAUUUAGCUUGGAUGCCGAUUUCACAUUUAUGAUCUUUAACAUCAUUGCAAUUAAUCAAACCAUGCUUAGACAUGUAUUUCAAAGAUCUAAAGUUCAAAUGUGCUAAUCUAGUAUGCCAAACAUCACAAGACUCAACAAUAUAAGCUAAGUUGAUAUUAUUAUUAUUAAUGCUGAGUUUGUACAUUCCAUCACAAGAAUACCCUUUGCAUAAAAAAUAAAACCUUAAAGAUUGUUAGAGAAUUUAAGAAUGUGGAGGCAAAGAACAAAGAAAAUUUCUUAGGAUUUAAGACGUGUUUGCACACUUUCUUUUAAGGUCUUAUUUGCCCUCACCAAUCUUGAUUUGCUAUAGAGUUUUAAUGGAAAAUUACCCCUAAGAUAUAUCAAAUCCUGAAUACAAUCUCUAGCAAAUAAGAUUGUACUUCUAGAACAUAUAUGAAACUUGCAAAAUCUAAUUAUUUUUUUCUAAUUGUAUGUCUUUCUUUAAUGAAGAAGAUGUUUAUUGAAAGAAUACAACCAUUGGAAAUAGUACUUCUUCAAAGACACUCUUUUGGUUUGAAUUUGCAUCGAUUGACAAAUGAAAUUUUCAAGCUUGCUAACCGUUUUUCCAGUUGACACCUCUCUGGAAAUAAACGGUUAGUCGUUUUUUCAAUAAAACGGUGAGCCGUUUUAUUCUAGAAUGUCAAAUACGUUGCUCUUUGUAAAUAAACGGUUAGCAGUUUUCUCAAUAACGGUGAGCCGUUUUCUCUAGAACAUAAAACAUGCUCUCUGGAGUUAAACAGUUAGCCGUUUUCUCAAUAACGGUGAGCCGUUUUCUCUAGAACAUAAAACAUACUCUCUAGAGUUAAACGGUUAGCUGUUUUCUCCGGAAACGGCAAACCGUUUUCUUCCAGAAUAUCAAACCAAAGAUUGAAAAAUGUUACAAUCUCUCUUACAACAUGUAUAGAUAAAGAUUGUAUAUAGACUUGUAUGU